AUCUAGCUGAUGAGUCCCAAAUAGAACGAUACGUGAGUCCUGGAU
rfam:Schistosoma haematobium scaffold462_10, whole genome shotgun sequence.